GAUGAACGCUGGCGGCGUGCCUAAUACAUGCAAGUCGAGCGAACAGACGAGGAGCUUGCUCCUCUGACGUUAGCGGCGGACGGGUGAGUAACACGUGGAUAACCUACCUAUAAGACUGGGAUCACUUCGGGAAACCGGAGCUAAUACCGGAUAAUAUCUUGAACCGCAUGGUUCAAUAGUGAAAGACGGUUUUGCUGUCACUUAUAGAUGGAUCCGCGCCGCAUUAGCUAGUUGGUAAGGUAACGGCUUACCAAGGCGACUAUGCGUAGCCGACCUGAGAGGGUGAUCGGCCACACGGGAACUGAGACACGGUCCAGACUCCUACGGGAGGCAGCAGUAGGGAAUCUUCCGCAAAGGGCGUAAGCCUGACGGAGCAACGCCGCGUGAGUGAUGAAGGUCUUCGGAUCGUAAAACUCUGUUAUUAGGGAAGAACAAAUGUGGAAGGAACUAAGCACGUCUUGACGGUACCUAAUCAGAAAGCCACGGCUAACUACGUA
rnacentral:rRNA from 1 species